UUUAAAAGUCUAAUGGGCUACUGUAAGGUCUCCAACUCUCAUAUUCUCCAUAUUUCAUAUCCAUAAAAUAAACCAUAAUAACAUCCAAGUCUCCAACUCUCCAAGUCAUCAACAAACUGACUUCCAAAACUAUAAAAAAACCAGUAAACCACACAACGAAAUAGUCCAAAAAGACAAAAAAUUACAAACCACAUAACUAAAGAAAAAUCGUGCAAACUCCAAAUGUCUAAAGCCCAAACCAAAAUGGUGCAAUAAAGUAUUAAAGUUACUUCAAACGAAGAGAGAAGACAAUCAAGACAUCAAUGAGAAUUAGAAUCAUCUUCAUUGCUUUCAUCUGCAGCAGAAUUGAAGCCGUCAUCAUCAGAAUCAUCACCCUCAUCAACAUAUUCCACAAGAAGUACUUUCGAUUUCAGCAAUUGCUUUAGAUUCUAAUAAAUAAGUUUAUAAUUGAGGGUUUCUUGUUUUUUUUCAGUUUGGGGUUGAAAAAUAAACCCCUAAACUUCUUUUAUACAAACUUGGGGGUCAAAAUGACCCAUUUUGCCUUUUGGGCGAAGUUUAAAAAAAAAAAAAUUCUAAACGGUGCUAGGUGCCUGCCCAAGUACAGCCACCCGUGUUGGGGCGCCCAGGUCGAGGCGUACCGAAAUUUUUUUUUGGGGUGCCUAGGCGCCAAGCGGACCGUUUUUUUAAAUACUGAUCGCAUCAAAAUAAUUUACAAAUAUUAGAAAACACUUCCAUAUCAUAAGAUUAAAAAAAUAAUUUCCCAUAUAAGUGAAAUAAGUAUCACAUCAAACUUUUAUUAACUCGCUUUACUCGUCCAAAAUUAUCGUAACCUAACUAAUUAUAAUAUUAUACACUGAAAUUGGAAUUAUUAGUUUAUAUUUUAUAAUCGUUUUACUAUACAAAUAAGAAUAAAAUUUGCAAUACUAAUUAUUGUAAUAUUAUAAUAAAUGUGAUUCAAAAAACAAGGGUAUGACCCUCACAAAUAAAUAAAUCUAAUGUGUUUAAUAAUUAAUGUGGACAAAAAUAUAAAAUUUAGAAACAUAAAUUUGCAAUCAUAUUUUAGUAAAAUCAGGAAAAUAAAUAAAUAAAUACUUGCAAUGUGGGAUAAUUGAUAAAGCAACUUGAAAAUAAACUCUAAAGUGAUAUGAGCUAGUGUUAUUUUCUCUAUUAAAAUAACCCAUAAACUAGUCUUUUAAUGGUUAAUAAACAGGUAUUAGUAUUAUUUUUCGCUUUUUUAUUAUCCUAUGAGCUAGUAAUAUUUUUUCUUUUUAAUCCCAAUUAGCUAAUAGCUAAUAUGAGCUUUUUUGAGCAUUUUUUUUUUUGGGGGUAAGUAUAAUCCCAUGAGCUAAUAAAGCUAUCUAAUCUUCGAGUGAGACAAUGCUAACAUGGACAAUGAAGAUUUAUCCCCCAUCAAAGAGACGUGAGAUAAAAUUGGCAUACAAAAGAGUUGAACAAGUUUAAGGUGUACCAUGUGAUGAGAUGCAAGGCCACGUGAUAGUGAUGCAAGGUCCAAGAGAGAUGACGUCACGGGUCACGUGGUGGGUCACCACAUAAAUUUUUUCAUAGGAAAAGGUAAUAAAAAGGUGGAACCAGUUGGGACGUCUGGUUCUCUCUGAACCAGUGCGGACCGCUGGUUCAGGAGGGGAUCCGACCGGAUCUCGUUUUAUUACAAGAUCCAGAACGACAUGGACGAUUCUUGAUCCCGAUUAGGCGAUUCCAAUCUGGGUCCCUGAAUUUCAAACCUUGGUUUUGGCUGAAGAGCUUGAUGAGUGAGACUAUUCAUUGUACACUUUUUUUUCAAUAAAUUAACUAAAAAAUGCAAUAGAAAGUUAAAUUGCACUAACUCAUGAAUAAUGCAAAAAAGAAAUAGAUAACAUAAAAAAAGGUAUCCAAGUAAGCCAUAAAUUCAUCAUCAUCAUCCAGGGCUUAUCCCAACUACCUGGGAUCGACUACCCAAAUUCUGUUUCGCUAUUCCGCUCUAUAAAGGGCCACACCCUCAGUUAAAUCAUAAAUCACCAUAUCUCUUCUCGUUACUUCCAUCCAUGUUAUUUUGGGCCUUCGACUUGAACCAAAGCGCCCAUCUAAAUGCUUUAAACCAAUUAGUUUAAAACUAGUAGGAGAAUCACUAAAAAUUUAAAACCGUUUUUCAAAACUCAAACCAAGAAACAUCUAAAGAAAGGCAUCAAGAAUCAGAUUAUGUGAGCUAUUAUGCAUUGAUGUCUAGUUCCUCAAAAGAAAUGAUGAUGCCACUAUUGGCACCUUUGAAGAUCUUUAGUCUUAAAUGCAAAAGCAACCAAUCAGCCACCUCUUCCGUGGAUAAAUUGUUCUUCUGAGUUGCAUCAAUUCAAACAUACUCCAAUUUCGUUCACAAUUAGAGAAGCUACAUGGAUACUUAAAGCUUUACUAGCAAUGUUUUGCAUUUCUGUGAAGUGUCCAUAGUUCAAAUAAAAAACUAAUUCAUUAAAACCCUUUGAAUUAAUAUAACAAGAACUCUAAUGAAUUUUAUGUAUCUAGGCUGUUUUGUGUCCUAGCCAAGAUAGCAAGGUCAAUACCAGGAGAUCCAUCAUCUUUGUGAUGCUUGGACAACAAUAACUAUGUCUUAAUCCAUAUAACUAAGAUUCAUUUUCAUAAAUAGUUUUAUGAAGAAGUCAUGCAAUGCUUGUAGAAAUAAACCUCCUUCUUUAAAAUAAUAGAAAGAUUAGCAAAUGUACACAUUUUACAAGUAAAGUGGUUAACAUAUACAUAUGGUUAUCACCCUUAACAGGAAACCAUGCGUUAUAGGCAUUUGUGAGAACUUCCAAUUCCCAACUUAGGGUGGUAACUAUACGUAUAUAUUAAUCCCUUUGCGUGUGAAAUAGGUGAGAAUUGCAAACCCUUCUAAAUUUUACAAGCAAAGAGACAACUUCCACUAGAAUUCCAUGACUACUUCACAUAAAAUCUAUGAAAAUGAAUCCUACUAAUGAGGAUAAAGGAAUAAUAACUAUUGACCCGCCUAAACAUUAUAGAAGUGAUGGAUCUCUUGGUAUUGAGUUGAUAGUCUUGGACAGUACUCUCAAAAUAGCCCAUGGAUAUAAAAUCACCGAAAUUCUUGUUACAAAAUUCAAAGAGUCAAGAAAUUAGGUUAUUUUCAUGCCUUCAUGUGAAUGGUGGAUCCUUUAUGGGCAUCAAAUUUGGAAAAUGCAUAAGAUUAUCAUAUGAAUUUUGUACCAGCCAUGUAGCUCCUUUGGUUGUAACAAAAUCAAAGUCCCUUUGAAUCCCGCCCAUUCGAUAAGUGGAAUCAUGAUCCAUAGAUAAGAUAAAUGAUAUGGUGCUUGUACACUAUAUUGCCUAGAACCCCAACAUUGUUGAAUUUUUGGGGCAUUCCAUUCCUAUGUUUUUGCUUAGCUUGUUUCUUAUCUUCUGGCCAUAACCAUUGAAUCAAAGCACCAUGUUUUUAUGAAUAUGUCAU
rnacentral:lncRNA from 1 species